GUUUUGGCCAACAUGGCUCUUAUUUAUCACCUCCUAAGCCAUAACCUGAUUAUCAUAGCUCCAGUUUCCAGCCCCAUACCAGUCUCUUGUCAAUCAGUAUCAGAAGGCCUGCUCUAACUUCUCUUAUGGUUGCUUCAUAGCUGUCUCCAAUCGCUACUGGCUUCUCAGAAAUAUCCCUUUCCAGUUUAACCCAGGGACCGAGACCCAGAGUACUACGUGCCCUCAGAUGUCAUAACUCCUCACUGGGUUUGCAGCAGAUAGAUGAGAGCUGGUGUAAGACUACAAUGAUGAAGAAACUGAAGCAGAGAAAUAAGGAAUUUGUCCAAAUCUCACAGCAAUCCUUUUAUAGGUGCUGGAGAUGGAGCAAGAAACAAAACAAACAUGGCUCCUGCCAUUAUGGUGUUUCUGAUCUAGCGGACAAUGAUGACUAUAAUGGAG
rnacentral:lncRNA from 1 species